AGAGUUUGAUCAUGGCUCAGAUUGAACGCUGGCGGCAGGCCUAACACAUGCAAGUCGAGCGGAUGACGGGAGCUUGCUCCUGGAUUCAGCGGCGGACGGGUGAGUAAUGCCUAGGAAUCUGCCUGGUAGUGGGGGACAACGUUUCGAAAGGAACGCUAAUACCGCAUACGUCCUACGGGAGAAAGCAGGGGACCUUCGGGCCUUGCGCUAUCAGAUGAGCCUAGGUCGGAUUAGCUUGUUGGUGAGGUAAUGGCUCACCAAGGCGACGCUCCGUAACUGGUCUGAGAGGAUGAUCAGUCCCUCUGGUUCCUGAGACACGGUCCAGACUCUUACGGGAGGCUGC
rnacentral:rRNA from 1 species